rnacentral:rRNA from 1 species
AUUGAACGCUGGCGGCGUGCCUAAUACAUGCAAGUCGAACGCAGUGGGGACGGGUGAGUAACACGUGGGUAACCUCCCAUCAGAGGGGAUAACACUUGGAAACAAGUGCUAAACCGAUACUGAUGGAUGAACCCGCGGUGCAUUAGCUAGUUGGUGAGGUAACGGCUCACCAAGGCCACGAUGCAUAGCCGGCCGGAGAGGGUGAUCGGCCACACUGGGACUGAGACACGGCCCAGACGCCUACGGGAGGCAGCAGUAGGGAAUCUUCGGCAAUGGACGAAAGUCUGACCGAGCAACGCCGCGUGAGUGAAGAAGGUUUUCGGAUCGUAAAACUCUGUUGUUAGAGAAGCGGUAUCUAACCAGAAAGCCACGGCUAACUACGUGCCAGCCGCCGCGGUAAUUC